UACGUAGGGGGCAAGCGUUGUCCGGAUUUAUUGGGCGUAAAGAGCGUGUAGGCGGCCAGGUAGGUCCGUUGUGAAAACUGGAGGCUUAACCUCCAGCUGUCGAUGGAAACCAUCUGGCUAGAGUCCGGAAGAGGAGAGUGGAAUUCCUGGUGUAGCGGUGAAAUGCGUAGAUAUCAGGAGGAACACCGGUGGCGAAGGCGGCUACCUGGACAGAGUCUGACGCUGAGGCACGAAGGCCAGGGGAGCAAACGGG
rnacentral:rRNA from 1 species